UACAGAGACCUCAAGCGUUAUCCGGAAUCAUUGGGCGUAAAGCGUACCGAUAGGUGGUUUUACAAGUCAGAAGUGAAAUCUCUCAGCUUAACUGGGAGACUGUCUUUUGAAACUGUAAAACUAGAAGAGCAAAGAGGAAGCUGGAACAAACGGUGUAGUAGUGAAAUGCGUUGAUAUCGUUUGGAACACCAAUAGCGUAGGCAGGCUUCUGGGUGCUACUUGACACUGCUAGGACGAAAGCGUGGGGAGCGAUAAGG
rnacentral:rRNA from 1 species